rnacentral:rRNA from 1 species
AGAGUUUGAUCAUGGCUCAGAGCGAACGCUAGCGGCGGGCCUAACACAUGCAAGUCGAGCGCGUGACUUCGGUCACGAGCGGCGGACGGGUGAGUAACACGUAGGUAAUUUACCCUCAGGUGGGGAAUAACCCGGGGAAACCCGAGCUAAUACCGCAUAUGGCCUUCGGGUCAAAGCCUUCGGGCGCCAGAGGAUGAGCCUGCGUCCCAUUACCUAGUUGGUAGGGUAACGGCCUACCAAGGGGACGAUGGGUAGCUGGUCUGAGAGGAUGAUCAGCCACACUGGGACUGAGACACGGCCCAGACUCCUACGGGAGGCAGCAGUGGGGAAUAUUGCGCAAUGGGCGAAAGCCUGACGCAGCUACGCCGCGUGGGUGAUGAAGUCUUCGGAUCGUAAAGCUCUGUCGGGAGGGGANCAUUC